rnacentral:tRNA from 1 species
GCCGGGGUGGCGGAAUUGGCAGACGCCCGGGACUUAAAAUCCCGUGCCCCGAAAGGGGCGUGCGGGUUCGAUCCCCGCCCCCGGCACCA